UCUAAAACUCUGAGCUGGUCAAGUUCAGGUCAACAAGAUUUUCUAGAUUUAUGAGUCAACUUUCUAGAGUUCUGCAUUCCCACCUCUAAGAUGGAAAAAGACAGGGAGAAGGACAGACAGAAAAGGUGAGAUACCACAGCAUGCUCGAAAAUGCGUGAACUUCCUUCUCCUCAGUGCCUUGCAUGGGGAUCUAGGUGAUGCAGGAUAGAGAGGAGAAGUUGAGAGCGGUGGGGUAGAUGGAGAGGGAGACAGAAAGGUAGACAUCCAUGGACAUUCACUGUUCAUGAACUGUCUACCCUUCAACUGGUGAGUGGGAGCUUGAACCCAGGUCAUCUCGCUUGGUAAUAUGAGCAAUCCUAUUCUGAGCACCAACACACGGCCCCCACAUGAGAUUUGGAAUACAAAAGUUAGUUGACCAAAUAAGCUAUUUUAUAAACAGUUGUGUUGUGAUCA